GGAGGUGCUCGGGGGCUCAGACUCGGGGGCCAGAGAGUCCCUGUCUCUCGGGAGCCUCAGCGACGGAAGGAGGUCAUGGAUGGACGGACGGACAGAAGGACAGACAGACGGCAGACAGGGAGAGCUGGGCCGCUCCCGCUCCCACUGAGCGCACACGUGGAGCUGGGCCCGGAGGGAGUGGGGGCAGGGGAGGCGGAACUGAGAGCUGAGCUAAGGACCAAGGUUUGGAGGGAGGAGGAGGAGAGAGGAAGAGCGGGGUUGGCGACAGCCUGGCAAAGGUCUCCACCUCGAUGUGGAGACUGGUUGCUUUCAGGGCCCAGGCCUUCAGGCCCCAGAUCCUGUGCAGGGGGAGCCAUGGGGCGGAGAGGAGGGGGGUGAGGCGACUAAGUGGUGCCCCGGGGGGCGGGCCCUGCUCAGGUGUGGCCCUGUGCUGGGGACCUGCUGCCUGCACAGCGGCCUUGGGUGCUGAGGGACGAUCCUGGCCGCUGUCCUGCUAGACUGGCCCCGCGAGGUCUCUGUCAGCAUCCGGCCGGUCGUCCUAAGUGCUUGUCCUGGGACUGAGGUGCAGUGUCCGUGGGGCACACUUGGCACUGGGGUGGGAAAGGCUGGGCAAGGGCGUGGGGCCCGACAGCCAGCGCCGGGAAGGUGCAG